rnacentral:rRNA from 1 species
ACUCCUACGGGAGGCAGCAGUGAGGAAUAUUGGUCAAAUGGGCGCAAGCCUGAACCAGCCAUGUCGCGUGCAGGAAGACUGCCCUAUGGGCUUGUAAAGCUAGCUUUUAUUACGGGAAGAAUGUGACCUACGUGUAGGUUUUGCCGGUACCGUAUGAAUAAGCAUCGGCUAACUCCGUGCCAGCAGCCGCGGUAAUACGGAGGAUGCAAGCGUUAUCCGGAUUCAUUGGGUUUAAAGGGUGCGUAGGCGGAAGUGUAAGUCAGGGGUGAAAGUUUGCAGCUCAACUGUAAAAUUGCCUUUGAUACUGCAUUUCUUGAGUACAUUUGAGGUAGGCGGAAUGUGUUGUGUAGCGGUGAAAUGCUUAGAUAUAACACAGAACACCGAUUGCGAAGGCAGCUUACUAAACUGUAACUGACGCUGAUGCACGAAAGCGU